rnacentral:rRNA from 1 species
GGGGAGUGACGUCAAGUCCUCAUGGCCUUUAUGCCCAGGGCUACACACGUGCUACAAUGGGUGGUACAAAGAGAUGCCAACUCGCGAGAGCGCGCCAAUCUCAGAAAGCCAUCCUCAGUUCGGAUUGGAGUCUGCAACUCGACUCCAUGAAGUUGGAAUCGCUAGUAAUCGCGGAUCAGCACGCCGCGGUGAAUACGUUCCCGGGCCUU